rnacentral:pre_miRNA from 1 species
UAAAUUUGGUUAUGAGGUCGCUAAGUAGUAGUGCCGCAGGUAAUUGCUAUUAAAUCUCAUAUUACCUGGACAAGGCUACUUAACGUUCUUUUAACUUUAAA